UACGUAGGGGGCUAGCGUUGCUCGGAAUCACUGGGCGUAAAGCGCACGUAGGCGGCUUUUUAAGUCAGGGGUGAAAUCCUGGAGCUCAACUCCAGAACUGCCUUUGAUACUGAGAAGCUUGAGUCCGGGAGAGGUGAGUGGAACUGCGAGUGUAGAGGUGAAAUUCGUAGAUAUUCGCAAGAACACCAGUGGCGAAGGCGGCUCACUGGCCCGGUACUGACGCUGAGGUGCGAAAGCGUGGGGAGCGAACAGG
rnacentral:rRNA from 1 species